AUUGAACGCUGGCGGCAGGCUUAACACAUGCAAGUCGAGCGAGCGGCGGACGGGUGAGUAAUGUCUGGGAAACUGCCUGAUGGAGGGGGAUAACUACUGGAAACGGUAGCUAAUACCGCAUACCAUCAGAUGUGCCCAGAUGGUAUUAGCUAGUAGGUGGGGUAAUGGCUCACCUAGGCGACGAUCCCUAGCUGGUCUGAGAGGAUGACCAGCCACAAUUGGACUGAUACACGGUCCAGACUCCUACGGGAGGCAGCAGGGGGGAAUAAUGCAAAAUGGGGGCAAGCCUGAUGCAGUAAUGCCGCGUGUGUGAAGAAGGCCUUCGGGUUGUAAAGAACUUUCAGCGGGGAGGCGUUACUCGCAGAAGAAGCACCGGAUAACUCCGUGCCAGCCGCCGCGGUAAUUC
rnacentral:rRNA from 1 species